rnacentral:lncRNA from 1 species
UAAGCUUGAAGAAAGCUUUAGAGAGAAGAUGAACUUUACUGGAUAUUAUUCAACUUAACGUUUCCAGAUUUACAUUGUCAUGCUCUUAUACACAAUGAGCUAGCUUUGGAUAAGACAAACACGUCAGCAUACUAGAGAAUCAAAUCUGUUAAAUAGCUGUAUGUGGUGAGCUGUGUUGACCGUAGUACGACAUGAACGUUGCGUUGCUUUAUCAUUGGCGACUGGUUUCAGAACACUCUGUUUGUCCUUUUGCUCUAAGCCCAUCUCACUACCUUGUGUCUUCUGUUGGGCUAUGAUACUGAGCAAAGCCUCUGUCUUUGGCUCGUUAUCGCUUACACACCCCCUCAAACUGGUGGCAGGAGGUUCUGAGACACCAAGUUUGGACCGGAGAUUGAGAAAAGGACGUUGUGGUAGUGACUUCGUAAAGAUAUCUGCGAGCUGAUGUGAUGCCGGUAUCUGUUGUACCACGAGAGCUCCAAGCGCAACACGUUCACGCACAUAGUGAAAGUCAGUAUCAAAAUGCUUUGAGCGGUUGUGAAGGGCCGGGUUGGCUGUGAGGUAGACCGCAGACAGAUUGUCACAGUAGAGUCUUGGAGUGACAGAUAUAAACACUCCCAUUUCGCCAAGAAGAGCUGCUAGCCAUUUCAUUUCACAUGCAGUAGUGGAGAGUGUGCGGUACUCGGCUUCGGUUGAGGAACGUGACACGGUUGGGUGUCUUUUGGCAGACCAUGAUAUCACAUUUGAUCCAAGCAAAGUACAGAAACCUCCAGUGGAUCUUCUUGUUUCUUUGCACCCAGCCCAGUCGCUAUCACUGAAGGCUUGGAGAGUGAUAUCCGUGUUGGCACUGAGAUUGAUCCCAAAAGUAUGUGUUCCUUUCAGAUACCUCAGUACACGUUUCAGGUUUGUGAAGUCCGCAACCGUCGGAGCAUGCAUCUUUCUACACACAUAAUUCACAGCAUAUUGUAUAUCAGGUCUUGUCAGUGUAAGGUAUUGGAGUUUACCGGCAAGACUUCUGAAAUAGGUAGGCUGAGGAAAGAGCUCUGUUUGUCCUGGUACUCUAUCCAAUUGCAGUGGCAAUGGUGUAAGAACAGGAGCACACUCGUCCAUCCCAGCGUUGAUUAACAGGUCGAUUGUGUACUUCUCUUGACUGAGAAACAAACCAUCUUCGUGAGCAUGAACCUGAAGGCCAAGGAAGUAAUGAACUGGACCCAUAUCCUUCAUUCUGAACGUCGUGUUGAGAGAGUAAAGCAACUUCUCAAUCAGCUUAUCAUUACUGCCAGUCAAGAGCAUGUCGUCGACAUAAAGAAGAAGAUAGAUGACAUCAGUACCGUGAAGAUACACGAACAAGGAAGGAUCUCUGAGGGUGCAUUUGAACCCAAACUCGAUUAAGAAAGUACUGAAUUUGUCAAACCACGCUUGUGGAGACUGCUUGAGACCGUAAAUAGCUUUUCGUAGCUUGCACAUAUGGUGAGGUUUGUCUGGAUCAGCAAAACCGGGAGGUUGUUUCAUGUAAACAGUUUCCUUUAAAUCACCGUUGAGGAAUGCAUUCUCUACAUCAAGUUGUUUUAUCUUCCAUCUCUUGACGGUGGCAACAUGUAGGACUGUCCGGAUAGUAGCAGUUCGAACAACGGGGCUGUAUGUCUCCAUAAAAUCUAUACCUUCUUCUUGACUGUUUCCAUUUGCUACCAAGCGAGAUUUUAACUUAUCCUCUGUUCCAUCUGCCUUCAACUUCACUUUAUGUACCCAGUGACAAGAUAGAGGAGUCACAUUAGGAUCAGGAGGUACUAGAUCCCAUGUGUGAGUAACCUCAAAGUUGUUCAUCUCAUGCUUCAUCGACUUGUUCCAGCGUUCAUCUUUCAAUGCAGCAGCGGUGGACUUUGGAGUAGGAUAAUUUGUCUUGACGGUGAGCAAGACGUAUCUAGGAUUUGGUUUUCGAAUCCCUUGUUUUCCUCUUGUCAUCAUAGAAUGUGUUGGAACAGGCGCCAUAGAAGAAGAAUCAGUAGAAGAUGUCUGAGACUGAACAGGAGAUGGUAAAGGAGGAAAAUCUGCGUCGUUUAAUAGGUUUUGUUGAGGUACUACUACUGCAGUCACAGGAACAGCUGGAGAAACCAGAGGAGGCAUGUCUUCUAUGACAGGUUGAUCAGGUUCUUCAACUGACUGAGGCUUCAUAAAGGUUGACUGCCACGCAGAUAACAAAGGAGUGUCUAACGAUGUAUGAAACUCUUGAUAAUCAGUAGCAUAGGGAUAGUUUGACUCCUCAAAAAAGACAUGGCGACUGAUGUAAACCCUUCCAGAAGGAGGAUGCAAGCACCUAUAACCCUUAUGUUUCUCACUGUAUCCAAUGAAAACACAGUGAAGGGAUUUAGGAUCAAACUUGUUUUGUUGAUAUGAUCGCAACAUUGGAAAGCAACUGCAUCCAAAAACUCUCAGAGAUGUGUAGACUGGAGGUUUUCCAACUAGUACCUCAUACGGACUCUUGAACUGAUCUAGAGCAGAUGAGGGGAGAAGGUUUCCCAGAUAGACUGCAGUAAAGAACGCCUCAACCCAAAGUUGGUGUGGAACUUUACUUUGAUACAUCAUCGCAAGGCCAAGUUCUGUAACAUGACGGUGCUUACGUUCGGCCAAUCCGUUUUGCUCCGGCGUGUGAGGGCAUGACAUCAUGUGCCUGAUACCACAACUCGCUAGAUGACUGAGGAACUGACUGCUGAGAAACUCACCCCUCCAUCAGAUUGAAAAGACUGUAUCUUCGUCUCAAGUUGGGUUUCAACCAUUGUUUGAAAACGCAAGAAUACACUAUGAAACUCAGACUUCAUCUUUAACGGAAAUAGCCAUGUGUAUCUUGAGAAAUGGUCGAUGAAAACAGCAUAAUAUCUAUAACCUUGAGUUGAUACAACUGGAGAGGGUCCCCACAAAUCACAAUGGAUACGUUAUAGGGGUCUCUUUGAUACAAAAGAUGAAGAAGAAAAGGGAAGCUUAGAAAUCUUUCCCAUUUGACACGCUUCACACAGACGAGAAGUGGUCUUAUUAACUACUAUGGCCUUAUUCUUUGAGAGUCGUUGGAGAAUGUCUAGAUGAGGAUGACCCAGCCUCAUAUGCCAAACACUAUCAGACGUAGCUUGCUGCCUGGAAGAGUAGUAAGCUAAAAACUUCAUGUUCUCCAAGACGUAAAGAUCCUUCUGUCUAGUUCCUUUUGUCAACAGCUGCCUUGUCUGUUUGUCCUUAACAACAACACCAUCAGAAUCGAACUCAAUAGCACAUGGAUAAUCAGAGGUGAGUUUAGACACUGAUAAGAGAGACUUAGCAAUAUCUGGACAAACUAGUACAUCAUUCAAAUGAAUAGUACCUUGGAGACUUGGCAAAACUGCAGACCCAACAUGAGUAAUAGGAAGGAAAUCACCAUUACCAACAAGAACUGUGUCCUCUCCAAGGUAUGGCUGAGAGUUGUGAAGGUUUGAUGUGGAGUUGGUGAUGUGAGCGGAUGCACCAGAAUCAGCAUACCAAUCGUUUGAUGGAUCAGAGACUCGCAUAGCAGAGAAAGCUCCAUGGAAGUCAUCAGUCUGAUAGGAGUGGUCAAAGCGUUUGUAGCAUUUGUAAGCUGGAUGACCAAACUUGUUGCAGAUCUGGCAAGUAGGCCUAUUAUCAGGUUGAGCGCUUCCUCGGCCACCUCCUUGACUGAUUUGCUGUGGAAAGCCACGGCCUUGAGUAGAGUAAGAGCCACGACCUCGACCUCUGUAGCUUCCACGGCCCCUUGAAGAAGAGCCUCCUCUGUUUACAUAAAACGCUUGAGUUGGAGAGACUUGGGUUAUAUCUUCAUAAGUUGUGAGUUUUUCAUCAAAAGCAGUAAGCUUGAACAUCACGUCGUCAAAGUUUGGACCAGGGAAGUUGUCCAUCGUGUUUUCGAUGACGGUGGUGAUGGACUCAUAUUCACGUCCGAGACCACGAAGGACGCCGUAAAUCUUCUCUUGGUCGGAGAGAGGAGCUCCAAUGGACUCAAGCUGGUCGCAGAGAGCUUUGAUUUCAGAGACAUACUGAGAAAACUUCUUGUUUCCCUUCUUCAUAGACUGAAUGCGACUCUGAAUGUCAAGCUUUCUUGUUGGAGUAACUCUAUUGUACUUUUGCGCCAAGUGAUACCAGAUCUCUUGAGCAGAACGAAGACCAUAGAUGCCUUUGAUAGCAUCUUCAGACAGAGAGCCAACUAACCAAGCCAUAACGAUCUGAUCGGUGCGAACCCAUUUCGCGUAAGCUGGAUUAGCGGUUUCUGUGUCUUGUUCUUGAACACGAACGGUGAGAGUAGCCUCCGGACGCGGUGUAGCUCCGGUGACGUGACCAAGAAGCGACUGACUGUUGAGAAACUGUUCGAACUGGAACUUCCAUGAUAGAUAGUUCUUGUCGGACAGCUUCAAGGUAACACAAUGAGUGAUCGAAAGGUGAGAAGAAAAAGGAUCAGGAACUCUAUCCAUGGUGCUCUGAUACCAUAUAAGCUUGAAGAAAGCUUUAGAGAGAAGAUGAACUUUACUGGAUAUUAUUCAACUUAACGUUUCCAGAUUUACAUUGUCAUGCUCUUAUACACAAUGAGCUAGCUUUGGAUAAGACAAACACGUCAGCAUACUAGAGAAUCAAAUCUGUUAAAUAGCUGUAUGUGGUGAGCUGUGUUGACCGUAGUACGACAUGAACGUUGCGUUGCUUUUUCAUUGGCGACUGGUUUCAGAACACUCUGUUUGUCCUUUUGCUCUAAGCCCAUCUCACUACCUUGUGUCUUCUGUUGGGCUAUGAUACUGAGCAAAGCCUCUGUCUUUGGCUCGUUAUCGCUUACAA